GUGGGCGGGGCCUGUGAGUUUCCGGCCGGGCAAUGGGGACCGCCUGGGGGCGGAGGAGGUGCUGUGAGCGGCCUGAGUUCUCGGGUCCGGCUUCCACCCCGGUGGUGUUCCCGUGCGUGAAUUUAUCUGGAGCGUUCCUGGGACGGUCUAGAGUGGGAAACAGACAGCGUCUGUUGGAGAGCAAGUGUAUCCCAAGUCUCCAUGAGAGCCAAGGUGACAAAUUUUGAGAAAUGAAAGAAGACACCCCGCUGUCUCUCAGUUGGCAAGGCGGAAGCGUUUCUGAAGGCUCUUCGCUGCCGUGGUCUCCGUGUGCUGUGCUGGAAAUGGCGAGCUGCUGCGGCGAUUUUCACAUUCGAGAGGUUUUUGCCUCCUUAUUCCCUGCCCUUUCCCUCUGUGUAGAUCUCAGCCUGCAAAUCCGGAGAGCGGUCUGUUAAGUAUUCCCAUGGCCCUCUGCUCUACUUUUUCUGCCCUCUUAAAUGUCGGCGUUUCCCCAAGGUUCCAUCUUCUGCCCUCCUCCAACUGGACACCUUGCUCCUUGAACUCAAUCAGAUACCGUGAUUCCCUAAUUUUUUGCUUUUGUGUAAAUCUGUUCAGCCUUCUGUAUUAUCAUCUGUGAAUCAACCGUUCAACAACUGUCUAGACCAGAAA